AAGGGCAGAGACACCUCUCCCUACUGCCACCUCUGCGCCGGGGGCUGCAGUGGGGGAGAAAAAGGCUCUGCCCUGGCUCUGCUUCCUUCUCCUGGAGCAGGUCCAAAACCAGACUCACCUGCCUGAUUUUUUUGUGGACCACUUCGCAGGCACCUGAUGCUGCAAUUGCUAUGCAGUUAAACCUGCUUAACAGUGCAAGGUGAGCUCUGGAAGCGCUGUAUAUGGGAGGUACAAACCAGACCAGACCUAACCAAACAGUGCAGAGAAGCUUGCUUUUUUUUUUUUUUUUUUUUUUAAUGGUGCUGCACCUGGGGGUGGUCAAGGCUGAGCCAGGGCCCCAAAAGCCCCCCCACGUCCACCUCUCACCCAGCUCUAACACUGAGCCAGCACCUGCAGAGACAGGCCCUGGGGGCUUCUUGGCUGAGGAGGAACCUUUGGUGGCGAGGACGCCCCGGUUUCACCCGUCCUGCCUUGCGACCCAGACCAUUCCCUGAUUCUGUGACAUCCCUGUACCGGCUCCUGGGGCGGCGGUACUGGGGAUGAGCUCAUCCCCAAGCAAGGAGCAUCUCAGGUGCUUGGCUUGCUGGUGUGGGCUCUCAUCGCCAACACAAUGUAUUACCUCCACGCGGCAUAUGGCUGGGUGAUGUUUGUGUCCAUCUUCUUCUGGAUAGUAACAGUCCUUUUCUUCGUGACUUACCUCCUGCAGCUUCAGCUGAAGUUCUACGUGAUCCCCUGGCCCCUUGUGGUGCAUAGCCGAGAGGGAGCGAGGGGGGAGCCCAAGUGGGAAACAUCCUGGGGAGGUGCGCCAAGAGGACCAGGGCUUCAGGCUCUUCUGGGCUGAUGGAACAAAGUCCCCUGCACUUUGCACGAUGACAUUGUUUUAUUCUGCCCCUCCAUUGCUUAGAAAAUGUUCAAAACAGGGAGCCCUGUAUCAAUCCAGAAAGUUACAGCCACUGCAUCACUGCUGCGGUCGUGGUGUCAACCAGAAACCUCUCAGCACAGCCUGAGCUGAUGAUCUUCAACACCACGGCAACUGUCCUGUACACCACUGCCUUCGUAACAUGCGCAGCCGCUGUCCAGCCUACGUCCUGGUGGCAGUGGGAUUACAACUGGAGAGCUGCAGCGUCCGUAAGUAGUGAGCGAGCAGGUGAGGGCCAUGGGGCUGGGGUGGCCACCACGCUCACGUGUGGGCUGUGCUCGUCUUCUAGUUCUUCGCCUGCCUCCUGAUGAUCGCCUAUGGGGCGAGCACCUUCAGCUUCCGUGCCUGGAAAGGGCUGGGCAGCCACGCGGCCACCAGCCAGGUGACUGAUCACGCAUAAGGAGCAGGCAGCAAAGCCCAGCCACAGGCCACCUGGGUCAGCUCGUGCCGGGCUCGGUGGCUCGAGGCCUCACGUGCCACCAGGUCUCAUGUUCUUGGAGCAGCCUGUGCUGGCAGUGACGGUCGGUACCAGGUCGCACCAACAAUGCUUUGGGGUCUCUGAUGAUGCUUCCAGACAACGCGCCCACAGCACAAACCCACCGGUGCCAACACCGACAGCCUCACCGGGAGGACACAGACUGGCUGGAGGCUGAAGCUCCUGCUCAUCCUUGGGGCUCAUCCAGAUCCUCACUGGCGCAGCUCCACUCAGGGGGCUCAGCCAAUUCAGCAUGUUCCAAUACUAAAAUUCACUAAACCAAGCCCAGCAUCCUGUCUCUGGUCAUUCACAGCUACAGUGUAAGUAAUUGCAAUUAAUGUGAUACGUGAACAGUGGCAGAGCUAGAAGAUGAAGGCUAAGCAAAGGAAGAGGUCUAAACUGUUCUUGUAUUGAUUUCUAACAAUUUUAUGCUUUAAAUAAAAAUCUUCCUAAAUCCA